rnacentral:rRNA from 1 species
AAAGUUUUUCGGCUGGGGAUGGGCUCGCGGCCUAUCAGCUUGUUGGUGGGGUAAUGGCCUACCAAGGCGACGACGGGUAGCCGGCCUGAGAGGGCGACCGGCCACACUGGGACUGAGACACGGCCCAGACUCCUACGGGAGGCAGCAGUGGGGAAUAUUGCGCAAUGGGCGAAAGCCUGACGCAGCGACGCCGCGUGAGGGAUGACGGCCUUCGGGUUGUAAACCUCUUUCAGCAGGGAAGAAGCGCAAGUGACGGUACCAGCAGAAGAAGCACCGGCUAACUACGUGCCAGCAGCCGCGGUAAUACGUAGGGUGCAAGCGUUGUCCGGAAUUAUUGGGCGUAAAGAGCUCGUAGGCGGUUUGUCGCGUCUGCUGUGAAAACUCAGGGCUUAACCCUGAGCUUGCAGUGGGUACGGGCACACUAGAGUGCGGUAGGGGAGACUGGAAUUCCUGGUGUAGCGGUGAAAUGCGCAGAUAUCAGGAGGAACACCGGUGGCGAAGGCGGGUCUCUGGGCAGUAACUGACGCUGAGGAGCGAAAGCAUGGGGAGCGAACAGGAUUAGAUACCCUGGUAGUCCAUGCCGUAAACGUUGGGCGCUAGGUGUGGGGUCCAUUCCACGAGUUCUGUGCCGCAGCUAACGCAUUAAGCGCCCCGCCUGGGGAGUACGGCCGCAAGGCUAAAACUCAAAGGAAUUGACGGGGGCCCGCACAAGCGGCGGAGCAUGCGGAUUAAUUCGAUGCAACGCGAAGAACCUUACCAAGGCUUGACAUGCGCGGUGGACCGGCAGAGAUGUCGGGUCAUUUAGGUUGGCUGCGUGCAGGUGGUGCAUGGUUGUCGUCAGCUCGUGUCGUGAGAUGUUGGGUUAAGUCCCGCAACGAGCGCAACCCUCGUUCUAUGUUGCCAGCGCGUUAUGGUGGGGACUCAUAGGAGACUGCCGGGGUCAACUCGGAGGAAGGUGGGGAUGACGUCAAAUCAUCAUGCCCCUUAUGUCUUGGGCUUCACGCAUGCUACAAUGGACGUACAAAGGGCUGCGAGACCGUGAGGUGGAGCGAAUCCCAAAAAGCCGUCCUCAGUUCGGAUCGGGGUCUGCAACUCGACCCCGUGAAGUCGGAGUCGCUAGUAAUCGCAGAUCAGCAACGCUGCGGUGAAUACGUUCCCGGGCCUUGUACACA